AGAACAAAGGACGGCUACUUCACUUGCCAAUUACCCGUUCGCAACAAUGUUGCAACGGGUAAUUGAGAACACACUUCACACAUGGGAGGUCUGAUUGUUCAGUAGUUUCAUUCGAACAAACUAAGGGAAUGAAACUACCUAACAUUCAGACGAAUCCAAUACAUAGACUUUGCCAUUUACACACGAAUGCAUGGAAAUACAUGAAUUGCUCAGGACAACACAGGGCCAUACACUACAGUGGGCUACCCGCACGUAUUUAUGCAGGUCUCCCACUUGGUGGACACUCCCCUAGGGGACAAAAUGGGAGACUGUAAUGACAGACAUGGGGACAUCUCAGACAUACAGAUGUAAACUUUUCCCACAAUGUAAUAUGGUUUCCUCCCCUCUGCCCUGGAGAUAAUUGAGAAGUAAUUCAAUUAUCUCCAGGACAAAGACAAAUCGCCAUCUUAAAUAAAAUACCAGAAAACACACAAAUAUAUAAUUCCACAACUACUGAACAUUUCACCUUCGUAUCACAUAUCCCCAGAUAGCCUGGAUCUGAGGGCAUAUUAUUAGCGAAUAGCGCUCAGAUCCCAUACGCAUAGUUCAAUCGCCAUUGAGUAAAAGUUCUUAGUCUUUUGGUAUGCGAUUGACUCCAUGGGAAGGCUAUCUGGGUUAAGUCUUUUCGUGUGAUUCCGAACGGCCAGUGUUCGCAUGCUUUCGUCGAUUGAGUAGGGCGACCUGUUGUUUCAGCAGUGUUGGGCAGAAAAAGUGUCCAUUUUUAGUUCCAUGAAAUCACUGCCAAACACCGCUGGUCUUUCGUGUGUUUUAAAAUGGCCGCUGCCUCAUGGUAGACAUGCGAACGACGGCCACCCUGAAUUAGAUUUUUAAGAGACGUGUCUGCGGUUAACCACAAUGUUCUAAUUGGGAUCAAGAGGUUAACCGGCAGCACACUUCUAUCCUGGGUGGCCAUCCGUUCGGUAGGUUUGUUCAGUAAAACAAAGUCAUUCGUAUGGCUGGGCUAUAGAACAGCCAUUUACACGAAAGGGGCAAAAUAGACAAAUCCACCACAAUAGACAUACAGAUGGUUCUGUCACAGCUGCGAUCCUGGACUUAAUGAAGCACAGUGGACAAAUACCAGCAGAUGACAUGGCUCCCCAAAUCAACACAGACUGUGGAAACUUCACACUGGACUUCAAGCAUCUUGCAGUGUGUGCCUCUCCAUUAUUCAUCCAGACUCUGGGUCCUUGGUUUCCAAAUGAGAUGCAAAAGUAGCUUUCAUCAGAAAAGAGGACUUUGGACCACUGAGCAACAGACCAGGUCUGUUUCUCUUUAACCCAGGUAAGCUGCUUCUGACGUUGUUUGUUAGGGAGCAGCUUGACAAGAGAAAUACGACAUCUGAAGCCAAUGUCCAGGAUCCGUCUGUGUGGUGGCUCUUGAUGCACUGACUCCAGACUCAAUCCACUCCUUGUGAAAGUCCCCAACACAUUUGAAUGGCCUUUUCCUGACACUCCUCUCCAGGCUGCGGUCAUCCCAUCUGCUUGUGCACCUUUUUCUUCCACACUUUUCAUUCCACAUAACUUUCUAUUGUGCCUUGAUACAGCACUUUGGAAACAUCAAACUUCCUUCACAAUUAUACUUCUCUUUGGUGAUUUGGGGUUUUCAUGAGCUGUAAGCCAUAAUCAUCGCACUUAUGACAAAUCACGGCUUGAACUAUCUUGCUUUGCAUG
rnacentral:lncRNA from 1 species